UCUCAGCAGAUCACUAUUGGAUUGCAUCUCAAUCUUCUUACUUUCACAGUUUUCAUCUAUACCUUCAGACACUGAUCAACAUUAGCGCCAGACAGCAGAGGAUGGGUUAGACUGAGGCUUUCAGACUUUCCUCCAGGAACAAAAAAAGAAAACCGUGUUUCCUUUCAUGAGCUCUGAAAGACACGAGUGACUUUCUUUUUUCAUGUAUUGUGGUGAUGCCAUCAAGAAAGACCCAGGAGCUGCUCAUAAUGGUCAUCCUGCUUGAGUUUACCAAGGAUAUUUGGAUGCUGCCAGCUCCGGAGACAGUCUUCAUGGACUCUGCAAACAUGAGACACGUCUUGAGGUGGACACACCCGGAGGCUUCAUGCAACACCACGGUCGUUUACUCUGUUCAGUACCAGGGCGAGUUUGAGCUUGUGAUCAAGAACGGCAGUUGGAUUAAUGCUCCUGACUGUCAGAAGAUUCCACACACUGACUGUGACCUGACCUUCGACCUGGGAUCUGACUCUGACUACAACGUGCGGGUCAGGGCCCAGUGCGGCUCCAGGCUCUCCGCCUGGACCAAAUUCCCGUUCAACAGGAACAACGUAACUCCUCCUGUUCCUGAUAUAAAGGUGACGACAGCAGGUGACGCUCUCCUGGUGUCGGUCAGGAAGUUUCCUCUGACAGCCAUCACCAAGGUGGUGGUGUGGAAGAAAGACGGAGAGCAGCAGGCUUCUGUCAGUUUGAUGGCAGCAGACCAGGAGGUGUUGCAUUUCGCCGCCCUGCAGGAGGGAGCAGUGUACUGUGUCAAGGCUCAGGUUUUCCUCAAGUCAGACAUGCACAGUGGAUACACGGACAGCUACUGUGUGUCCAUCACAGCUCCUGGUGCUCCUGCAUGGAAGGAGCCCACCGCAGUGACUGUGACAGUGGUCAUCAUGUUGGGUCUUCUGAUUGGUUUCUUCUGGUCCAUCGUCCACUGUUAUCCAGACUCCUGUCAAAAAUAUUUCCAGAAAGCAACGUUGCCACAUUUUCUGCAGGUUUGCAUGCAGGUAACUAACUAAUGCUGAAACCAAGGUCCAAUCGUUUGAUGGAGUAUCAGGCGAGAAAGAAAGCUUCGAGCUCCGACCAGCAGAUGAUGGUCGACCAGCAUCACCAAACAGCAACCAGCAACAGAGUCCUCUUCGACAAACUGCCUGAUUUAAUGUUGGUCCUAAAAGAUUUCCUUAUUUGUCACACCAAAGCCAAAGUAUAACUUCAUAUGAUGCUCAAAUUUGCUCAUUUUAGAGAGAAAACUUUGACUUCCAGACCACAAUGAUCCCAGAUCCUCAGGAGCCCUGCGAGGAGACCCCCCACCUACUGAAGGCUUUCACAGUGGAGGAAACGUGACCAAAAGUUAAGGCUGCUAUCACUGCAUGUUUAAGGAAGAAGGCUCCAAGCUGUUAGAGCUGCAUUUAGAUCGCCAUGGAAAUGACUUUCCCACGAGACAGGGAAGACUUAAUGGAAGGACUUUCCAUGUCCCCAUACAUCUCACAGGAGGAGGUGCAUCAAGUCCUAUCAUCCUCUAUUUGAAUGAGAAAAGGGUUUACAGAAGAGACUGCAGGUGGAUGCAGAUGAGAAUAGUUUCUGGCAGGAAUGAAGGAUUUUUUUUGUGCACAGGUGUUGUACAUGGUGUCAUGAUGAAAGGCCAUAAAAUGUUUAUUUAUACCUACUCUUUUUACAGGCAGUAAAGGAAUUAAACUGUUAUUCGCUAUCCCAGAUGGAAUGACAGAUUUAUAAAUAAUCAAAAAGGCUGUAAAAAUAACUAAGGAACAGCACGCUAGUUUUGAAGUUUUUAAUUUUUUAAUGUAUAAAUGUUUCUAUGGUUUACCUACACCAGCUUCUGUUGAUUAAAUGGAUACAGAUGUUUAUUUCUGUAUUUUACAUAUUUAAAUCAAGACGUCACAUUUAAGGUGGCUUGAUGUUGUCUGUCAGAGUUUCAUGUUCUAACAGAUAAAACCUUUUCCAGGCUUGAGUCCGGUUCAAUGAUCUCCUGGAAUAUCCUGGGGGGAAAACAACGGCCAUGUUUACGUUAUUAGACCUGUGGUCCAGAGCAAAUUAAGCAGUUUUUCAGCUAUUUUAUUUUUGAACUGUUAGUUGUUUGUAUCAAUCAAAGGAAAGCAUUAUCGUUUUGAUUUAUUUUAAAGAUUACUUUUUUAUAUCCUCUUAAUCAUUAAGAGAUUAGAUCAGGUAAACAAAUUGGUGUGUUUUUAUCAGGGGUUUCACCCAGUCAGCCAAUCACCAUGGAGACACUUUCCUCCACACAAGAUGUUAUCUAAAGUAUUAUCUUUAUGACAUCACUCUGUAGACUAAACCUCAACAUUGGACAUGCACAGGUGCUUGUAUUUUAUUGUGCUUUUAUAUGUUUGACCCUUGUUUUGCCUGGAAAAACCUUGAAAAAAGUAAUUCUUCAUCCCACAUUUCCUGUACAUAAUUUACCCUGAAGGAAGAUGUUUAUAUGCCUUAGAACCUUUUUGGGUCAUUAGAACUGUAGCCGUCUUUAAGUAUGAUCCUUUUCACCUUCUACAUUCAGUCAACAGGAAGUCAACAUAGAAGAUAAAUCUGUCUUUCCUGCAUCAUUUAACUUUAGGAUUUAAAAGGUUUUCCAUCUACAGUCUUUUCAAUCACAGAUUUAUGUUUCAUCCUCCUUUUAAAAUGAAACUUUCUUCUCAUAUAAAAAUCCUUGAGUAUAUGUUAAAAGUUUUGGUUUACAAAGAUCGAAGUAAAU